GCGGGGAUGAAGCAAGGGCGGCUUGGAGGUCUCAUAAGCCUCACAUCAGUAGGUUCAACUCCUACCCCCGCCACCA
rnacentral:tRNA from 1 species